rnacentral:lncRNA from 1 species
ACAAGCGUCAAUGUACGGACAGCUCCCCAUCCCCUCCCUUCCCCCUUCUCUCUCUCUCUCUCCUCCCUCUUCUCUCUCUCCUCUCUUCUCUCUCUCUCUCUCUCUCCCUCACCGCGUUCUCUCACGCUCCCCACCCCACCCCCUUUCUCUCUCCUAAAGCGGAAAGAAAUUCUCCUGUCCGGCUCUCAUAAUUUCGCUGUACUUUU